UCCGACUUCACGUCGGCAGUAUCGUUAGAGUGCCCAGCGUACCUGAUGGCAACUAACGACGAGGGUUGCGCUCGUUGCGGGACUUAACCCAACAUCUCACGACACGUGCUGACGACAGCCAUGCAGCACCUGUGUGGGAGCCAGCCGAACUGAAGAACCGCGUCUCUGCGGCCCAUACUCCCCAUGUCAAGGGCUGGUAAGGUUCUUCGCGUUGCUUCGAAUUGAACCACAUGCUCCACCGCUUGUGCGGGCCCCCGUCAAUUCCUUUGAGUUUUAACCUUGCGGCCGUACUCCCCAGGCGGGGUGCUUAAUGCGUUAGCUGCGGCACGGAAGGCGUCGAUAGCCUCCCACACCUAGCACCCAUCGUUUACGGCUGGGACUAC
rnacentral:misc_RNA from 1 species